rnacentral:rRNA from 1 species
UGGGGAAUAUUGCACAAUGGGGGAAACCCUGAUGCAGCAACGCCGCGUGCGGGAUGACGGCCUUCGGGUUGUAAACCGCUUUCAGCCAUGACGAAGCUUUUGUGACGGUAGUGGCAGAAGAAGCACCGGCUAACUACGUGCCAGCAGCCGCGGUGAUACGUAGGGUGCGAGCGUUGUCCGGAAUUAUUGGGCGUAAAGAGCUUGUAGGCGGUUUGUCGCGUCGAAAGUGUGAACUCAGUGCUUAACGCUGAGCCUGCUUUCGAUACGGGCUGACUAGAGGAAGGUAGGGGAGAAUGGAAUUCCCGGUGGAGCGGUGGAAUGCGCAGAUAUCGGGAGGAACACCAGUGGCGAAGGCGGUUCUCUGGACCUUUCCUGACGCUGAGAAGCGAAAGCGUGGGUAGCAAACAGG